rnacentral:rRNA from 1 species
AAUACCGGAUAUGAGACGUACAGGCAUCUGUUGCGUCUGGAAAGAUUUAUNGNUCAAGGAUGGGCUCGCGGCCUAUCAGCUUGUUGGUGGGGUGAUGGCCUACCAAGGCGACGACGGGUAGCCGGCCUGAGAGGGCGACCGGCCACACUGGGNCUGAGACACGGCCCAGACUCCUACGGGAGGCAGCAGUGGGGAAUAUUGCACAAUGGGCGCAAGCCUGAUGCAGCGACGCCGCGUGAGGGAUGAAGGCCUUCGGGUUGUAAACCUCUUUCAGCAGGGAAGAAGCGCAAGUGACGGUACCUGCAGAAGAAGCGCCGGCUAACUACGUGCCAGCAGCCGCGGUAAUACGUAGGGCGCAAGCGUUGUCCGGAAUUAUUGGGCGUAAAGAGCUCGUAGGCGGUUUGUCGCGUCUGCUGUGAAAACCUGAGGCUCAACCUCGGGCUUGCAGUGGGUACGGGCAGACUAGAGUGCGGUAGGGGUGACUGGAAUUCCUGGUGUAGCGGUGGAAUGCGCAGAUAUCAGGAGGAACACCGAUGGCGAAGGCAGGUCACUGGGCCGCAACUGACGCUGAGGAGCGAAAGCAUGGGGAGCGAACAGGAUUAGAUACCCUGGUAGUCCAUGCCGUAAACGUUGGGCACUAGGUGUGGGGCUCAUUCCACGAGUUCCGUGCCGCAGCAAACGCAUUAAGUGCCCCGCCUGGGGAGUACGGCCGCAAGGCUAAAACUCAAAGAAAUUGACGGGGGCCCGCACAAGCGGCGGAGCAUGCGGAUUAAUUCGAUGCAACGCGAAGAACCUUACCAAGGCUUGACAUACACCGGAAAAGUGCAGAGAUGUGCUCCCCGCAAGGUCGGUGUACAGGUGGUGCAUGGUUGUCGUCAGCUCGUGUCGUGAGAUGUUGGGUUAAGUCCCGCAACGAGCGCAACCCUCGUCCUAUGUUGCCAGCACGUCAUGGUGGGGACUCAUAGGAGACUGCCGGGGUCAACUCGGAGGAAGGUGGGGAUGACGUCAAAUCAUCAUGCCCCUUAUGUCUUGGGCUUCACGCAUGCUACAAUGGCCGGUACAAAGGGCUGCGAUACCGCGAGGUGGAGCGAAUCCCAAAAAGCCGGUCUCAGUUCGGAUUGGGGUNUGCAACUNGACNCCAUGAAGUNGGAGUCGNUAGU